GGGGCUGUAGCUCAGUGGUAGAGCACUUGCCUAGCACUCAUGAGGCCCUGGGUUCAAUCCUCAGCACCA
rnacentral:tRNA from 1 species